GGUGAACGCUGGCGGCGUGCCUAAGACAUGCAAGUCGUGCGGGCCGUGGGUUAUCUCACGGUCAGCGGCGGACGGGUGAGUAACGCGUGGGUGACCUACCCGGAAGAGGGGGACAACCUGGGGAAACCCAGGCUAAUCCCCCAUGUGGACGCAUCCUUUGGGGUGUGUUUAAAGGGUUUUACCCGCUUCCGGAUGGGCCCGCGUCCCAUCAGCUAGUUGGUGGGGUAAGAGCCCACCAAGGCGACGACGGGUAGCCGGUCUGAGAGGAUGGCCGGCCACAGUGGGACUGAGACACGGCCCGCACCCCUACGGGGGGCAGCAGUGGGGAAUAUUGGGCAAUGGCCGAAAGGCUGACCCAGCAACGCCGCGUGGUGGAUGAAGCCCUUCGGGGUGUAAACACCUUUUCUGGGGGAAGAUAAUGACGGUACCCCAGGAGAAAGCCACGGCUAACUGCGUGCCAGCAGCCGCGGUAAUACGCAGGUGGCGAGCGUUGCCCGGAAUUACUGGGCGUAAAGGGUGCGUAGGCGGCCGGACAAGUCGUAGGUUAAAGCCCGGGGCUCAACCCCGGAAAGGCCUACGAUACUGUCUGGCUUGAGGGCUGGAGAGGCUGGCGGAAUUCCCGGUGUAGGGGUGAAAUCCGUAGAUAUCGGGAGGAACACCGGAGGGGAAGCCGGCCAGCUGGACAGCUCCUGACGCUGAGGCACGAAAGCGUGGGGAGCAAACCGGAUUAGAUACCCGGGUAGUCCACGCCGUAAACGAUGCGCGCUAGGUCUCUGGGUUAUCUGGGGGCCGAAGCCAACGCGUUAAGCGCGCCGCCUGGGGAGUACGGCCGCAAGGCUGAAACUCAAAGGAAUUGACGGGGGCCCGCACAAGCGGUGGAGCAUGUGGUUUAAUUCGAAGCAACGCGAAGAACCUUACCAGGCCUUGACAUGCUAGGGAACCUGGGUGAAAGCCUGGGGUGCCCCGCGAGGGGAGCCCUAGCACAGGUGCUGCAUGGCCGUCGUCAGCUCGUGUCGUGAGAUGUUGGGUUAAGUCCCGCAACGAGCGCAACCCCUGCCGUUAGUUGCCAGCGGGUGAAGCCGGGCACUCUAACGGGACUGCCUGCGAAAGCAGGAGGAAGGCGGGGACGACGUCUGGUCAUCAUGGCCCUUAAGGCCUGGGCGACACACGUGCCACAAUGCCCACUACAGAGCGAGGCGACCUGGCAACAGGGAGCGAAUCGCAAAAAGGUGGGCGUAGUUCGGAUUGGGGUCUGCAACCCGACCCCAUGAAGCCGGAAUCGCUAGUAAUCGCGGAUCAGCCAUGCCGCGGUGAAUACGUUCCCGGGCCUU
rnacentral:rRNA from 1 species